rnacentral:rRNA from 1 species
ACGCUGGCGGCGUGCCUAAUACAUGCAAGUAGAACGCUGAAGAGAGGGCUUGCUCUUCUUGGAUGAGUUGCGAACGGGUGAGUAACGCGUAGGUAACCUGCCUUGUAGCGGGGGAUAACUAUUGGAAACGAUAGCUAAUACCGCAUAACAAUGGAUGACACAUGUCAUUUAUUUGAAAGGGGCAAAUGCUCCACUACAAGAUGGACCUGCGUUGUAUUAGCUAGUAGGUGAGGUAACGGCUCACCUAGGCGAUGAUACAUAGCCGACCUGAGAGGGUGAUCGGCCACACUGGGACUGAGACACGGCCCAGACUCCUACGGGAGGCAGCAGUAGGGAAUCUUCGGCAAUGGGGGCAACCCUGACCGAGCAACGCCGCGUGAGUGAAGAAGGUUUUCGGAUCGUAAAGCUCUGUUGUAAGUCAAGAACGAGUGUGAGAGUGGAAAGUUCACACUGUGACGGUAGCUUACCAGAAAGGGACGGCUAACUACGUGCCAGCAGCCGCGGUAAUACGUAGGUCCCGAGCGUUGUCCGGAUUUAUUGGGCGUAAAGCGAGCGCAGGCGGUUUGAUAAGUCUGAAGUUAAAGGCUGUGGCUCAACCAUAGUUCGCUUUGGAAACUGUCAAACUUGAGUGCAGAAGGGGAGAGUGGAAUUCCAUGUGUAGCGGUGAAAUGCGUAGAUAUAUGGAGGAACACCGGUGGCGAAAGCGGCUCUCUGGUCUGUAACUGACGCUGAGGCUCGAAAGCGUGGGGAGCGAACAGGAUUAGAUACCCUGGUAGUCCACGCCGUAAACGAUGAGUGCUAGGUGUUGGAUCCUUUCCGGGAUUCAGUGCCGCAGCUAACGCAUUAAGCACUCCGCCUGGGAGUACG